UACGAAGGGUGCAAGCGUUACUCGGAAUUACUGGGCGUAAAGCGUGCGUAGGUGGUUUGUUAAGUCUGUUGUGAAAGCCCCGGGCUCAACCUGGGAAUGGCAAUGGAUACUGGCAAGCUAGAGUGCGGUAGAGGGUAGUGGAAUUCCCGGUGUAGCGGUGAAAUGCGUAGAGAUCGGGAGGAACGCCCGUGGCGAAAGCGAGCCCCUGGACGUCUACUGACGCUGAGACGCGAAAGCCAGGGGAGCGAACGGG
rnacentral:rRNA from 1 species